CCACUUGCCUCGUCCGGAUAAUCAGUCGUCGUCGAGCUUUCAAAACGUUUGCAGCAAACGGGAGAACACACGCCAGGGAUCGAAAUCCAACCAAGAGCAGCCAAAAAGCAGGAGACCCAGAGAUACCAAAAGAUAGAGAGAGAUAGAACGAGCGAGAGAUAGAGAAAGAGCCAAAUAUCCGACGAUAGAUGGAAAUAGUGUCGCCGUGCAAACGCGGAGAGAGCUAAAAGCGAACAGUCCAGCUGAGAAUUACUAUAGCCCAAGAGCUAUAGUCGAAAGAAGAAACGAGAUCGGCUCGGGUCGCUCCUUGAUUCAUUUCAGACAAAAACGAGAGGAAAGCCCCAAAAGAACACGCCAAUUGCCGCAAAAAACAACCAAACCAACAAAAACUUACUCCAAAAGAAAAAGCAAAGCAAAAAAUUAAUAAAAACCAAAGAGAUUUUCAUUCAACAAAAACACUGACCACAGCUUCAAGAAGUGUGCACAAUAAUAGCAACAAAAGAAAAAUACAAGAAAAACCAAAAGACUAGCCAAAACCAAUUCCAGAGAUAUUAACAAAACAACAAAAAAAAAAAAGCAAAACAAAAACCAAACCAAACGACACGAAACGAAAACCAAUUAAGCGAACAAUUCUCUAGUUUUCUCGGAGGAAAAAGCAAA
rnacentral:sRNA from 1 species